AUUCCGCAAGGUUGUCUAGGAGUGUUGUUGUUGUGCUCGUUGGAUGCAUUUGCGUGCGGAGUGCGCCGAGUGGGUCGAUGUCGCUGCCGGAAGGGCGUAUAGAGGACUCGGGUUUUCGGACUCGAGAAUCCUGUGCGUUCGGAUAGCAGGUGAUGUUGGCUCGCUGUUGUGGAGUGCGGGUGAAUUCGCGAUGGGCGUCGGUUGUGAGUUGUGGUUGCGGAUGGCACAUGUGUCUUCCGUUUCCGCGGCCUACGAUCGGCGUUCGUUGCCCCGGCACUCGACUCGGUGUAUAGUCGGUCACCCAUUCGACCCGUCUUGAAACACGGACCAAGGAGUUUAAGGUGUACGCGAGUCAUUGAGCUGCGAAACUCAAAGGCGUAAUGAAAGUGAGACAUUGGAUGUCGACGAUGUGAGCGUUGGGCGUUUCACGUCCGGCGCGCACAUCGCCCCGUGACUAGGACUUGUUCUGUUGCGGAGGUUGAGCGUACGCUUUGAGACCCGAAAGAUGGUGAACUAUGCCCGAACAGGAGAAGCCAGAGGAAAC
rnacentral:rRNA from 1 species